rnacentral:rRNA from 1 species
GAGUGUCAGCAGCCGCGGUAAUACGGAGGAUCCGAGCGUUAUCCGGAUUUAUUGGGUUUAAAGGGAGCGUAGGCGGGAUGCUAAGUCAGUUGUGAAAGUUUGCGGCUCAACCGUAAAAUUGCAGUUGAUACUGGCGUCCUUGAGUGCGGCAGAGGCAGGCGGAAUUCGUGGUGUAGCGGUGAAAUGCUUAGAUAUCACGAAGAACUCCGAUUGCGAAGGCAGCUUGCUGGACCGUAACUGACGCUGAUGCUCGAAAGUGCGGGUAGCAAA